rnacentral:rRNA from 1 species
GACAGAGGGUGCAAGCGUUGUUCGGAAUUAUUGGGCGUAAAGCGCGCGUAGGCGGCGGCGUAAGUCAGAUGUGAAAGCCCAGGGCUCAACCGUGGAAGUGCAUCUGAUACUGCGUUGCUUGAGUGCCGGAGAGGGUGGUGGAAUUCCCAGUGUAGAGGUGAAAUUCGUAGAUAUUGGGAGGAACACCUGUGGCGAAGGCGGCCACCUGGACGGACACUGACGCUGAGGUGCGAAAGCGUGGGGAGCAAACAGG